GACGAAUGCUGGCGGCGUGCUUAACACAUGCAAGUCGAACGGUAAGGCCCUUCGGGGUACACGAGUGGCGAACGGGUGAGUAACACGUGGGUGAUCUGCCCUGCACUUCGGGAUAAGCCUGGGAAACUGGGUCUAAUACCGGAUAGGACCACUGCCUGCAUGGGUGGUGGUGGAAAGCUUUUGCGGGGUGGGAUGGGCCCGCGGCCUAUCAGCUUGUUGGUGGGGUGAUGGCCUACCAAGGCGACGACGGGUAGCCGGCCUGAGAGGGUGACCGGCCACACUGGGACUGAGAUGCGGCCCAGACUCCUACGGGAGGCAGCAGUGGGGAAUAUUGCACAAUGGGCGCAAGCCUGAUGCAGCGACGCCGCGUGAGGGAUGACGGCCUUCGGGUUGUAAACCUCUUUCAGCACCGACGAAGCGCAAGUGACGGUAGGUGCAGAAGAAGGACCGGCCAACUACGUGCCAGCCGCCGCCGUAA
rnacentral:rRNA from 1 species